rnacentral:sRNA from 1 species
AUCAUCACUCUGCAAAGGACAUCGCUUAUACUAUGAGAACUCACGUUCAAGGGAGGUGUUUACCUCCAAUACCCACAGAAUUAGCGUGGAGCUCAUGAAGGACUUCAGCAUUUGGGUCCUUUUGGCAACAUCCCCAACAUCGUCGCAGAGUUGACUGGAGACAACAUUCCUAAGGACUUUAGUGAGGAUCAGGGGUACCCAGACCCUCCAAAUCCCUGUCCUGUUGGAAAAACAGAUGAUGGAUGUCUAGAAAACACCCCUGACACCGCAGAGUUCAGUCGAGAGUUCCAGUUGCACCAGCAUCUGUUUGAUCCGGAACAUGACUAUCCAGGCUUGGGCAAGUGGAACAAGAAACUCCUUUACGAGAAGAUGAAGGGAGGAGAGAGACGAAAGCGGAGG